rnacentral:rRNA from 1 species
UACGUAGGGGGCUAGCGUUGUCCGGAAUCAUUGGGCGUAAAGAGCGUGUAGGCGGCUCGGUAAGUCCGCUGUGAAAGUCCAGGGCUCAACCCUGGAAUGCCAGUGGAAACUGUCGAGCUAGAGUCCGGAAGAGGCGAGUGGAAUUCCUGGUGUAGCGGUGAAAUGCGUAGAUAUCGGGAGGAACACCUGUGGCGAAAGCGGCUCACUGGACCGCAACUGACGCUGAGGCGCGAAAGCUAGGGGAGCAAACAGG